rnacentral:lncRNA from 1 species
AAAUCAAUCAGUAAUAUUUAAAAGCAAGUAUUUAUAUGAUAACUGAGCAACUAGUUUGACUACCUGUUGACUAUAAUGGUGAAUUGGUAUUGGAAAGGAAUUUAUACAUGAAGAAUUUAGGACAAAAGGGACAAGAUAAAAAAUUAGCAAUGAUGAUAAUAAUAAUAAUGUAUAAUAAUGAUAAUUAAAUUUUAAUAUCAAGCUCAUUGUAAUAAUCGUAUUUGUUUUACGAUCAAUGGAAAAUAAAUCCUUGAUAAUCCUUAACCUUUAUGUAGAAAUAUUAGAGUACUUAUUUCUGGUUUAAUCCAGUAUUCAAAGUUUUAUAUUGGGAUUUUUAUUGAAGUAUUUUUUUGAACAACUGAUAAAACUUUGUUGGUGGUACUUUCGAUCUAUUGAUUGUAUAAUUAAUAGAAAAUAUUUUCUCCAUAAAUAGUUCAUAUUAUUCUUAUUAAUUUAUUGCAUCGACGAUAAGCUGAACAAACAUUUGUACGAUUAAAAAUAACAACGUUUUUCAAUUCACGUAA